rnacentral:rRNA from 1 species
AAUCGCGGAUCAGCAUGCCGCGGUGAAUACGUUCCCGGGCCUUGUACACACCGCCCGUCACACUAUGAGAGUUGGGGAUACCCGAAGCCUGUGAGCCAACUAUUUAUAGAGGCAGCAGUCGAAGGUAGAAUCAAUGAUUGGGGUGAAGUCGUAACAAGGUAGC